UAUUCGUAUUGGUUAAAAGGGAGU
rnacentral:siRNA from 1 species